AAAUGAAUUGACGGGGACCCGCACAAGCAGCGGAGCAUGUGGUUUAAUUCGAAGCAACGCGAAGAACCUUACCAAGGCUUGACAUCCUCUGACAGGUGUGGAAACACACUCUUCCUUCGGGACAGAGAGACAGGUGGUGCAUGGUUGUCGUCAGCUCGUGUCGUGAGAUGUUCGGUUAAGUCCGGCAACGAGCGCAACCCCUAUAAACAGUUGCCAAUAUUAAGUUAGGGACUCUGUUUAGACUGCCGUGGGUCAACACGGAGGAAGGUGGGGAUGACGUCAAAUCAUCAUGCCCCUUACGCCUUGGGCUACACACGUGCUACAAUGGGCGCUACAAAGAGCAGCAAGCCGGUAACGGUAAGCGAAUCUCAUAAAGGCGCUCUCAGUUCAGAUUGUGGGCUGCAACCCGCCCACAUGAAGAAGGAGUUGCUAGUAAUCCCGAAUCAGAAUGUCGGGGUGAAUGCGUUCCCGGGUCUUGUACACACCGCCCGU
rnacentral:rRNA from 1 species